rnacentral:rRNA from 1 species
UACGUAGGGGGCUAGCGUUGUCCGGAAUCAUUGGGCGUAAAGAGCGCGUAGGCGGCUGGAAUAGUCCGGUGUGAAAUCCACAGGCUUAACCUGUGAAUGCCGCUGGAAACUGUCUGGCUAGAGUCCGGAAGGGGCGAGUGGAAUUCCCGGUGUAGCGGUGAAAUGCGCAGAUAUCGGGAAGAACACCCGUGGCUAAGGCGGCUCUCUGGUACGUGACUGACGCUGAGACGCGAAAGCGUGGGGAGCAAACAGGGAUUAAGAAAC